rnacentral:lncRNA from 1 species
CUUUUCCAUGCGUUCUCUUUAUCCUUCAUCGAAACAGCAUCAGUUUUUUAUUUUCAAUUAUCUUUUAGUAUUUGAUCACCAAAUUAACAUGAUAAAUUUUUCUCUUCUGUAGUCUAAUUCACUCCAUGUUUCCUUUUUGAUCCCAUAUUCAAAUGGAUUGCUAUGAAUGAAUGUAGGUGUAAUAACUAUCUUUCAUACUAUCUGGCUGAUAGCUAACUUAUGCUUCACUCAAUGCUCUGUAUUUAUUAUUUAGAUUUUCAAAUGGAUUAAAAUUAUUCUACUGAUAGCUACUCUGUAGAUUAGACCAAAACUCAUGUAACCAGCCCUUAAUCUUUCUACUCUUUCUUUAGUUCCCUCUCCCUUACUAUCCGCAUAUUCAGCAUACAUUUGCUUUUUCAACUGCUUUUCACUCACAUCAUAUCAGUAUAUCCAAAUUAACUUAUAUACAUUGAGGCAAUCAUGAAUUAUCUUCAAAUUAACUUAUAUAUACUAAGGCAAUCAUACUGUUUUUCAGUUUGCUUUCAUACUUCAUUAUUCAAAAGAUAAUCGUACUACACCAUUCCAACUGGUAUGGUUGGAAUGAUGAUAUGGUAUACUGCUCAAGUAUACCAUCUUCACUGCAAUCAAAUGAUUUUAAUAUUUUUCUUACCAGAUCCAGGGGGGGGGUCUAUGCUUCUUUUAGAGAAAACAGUCUCUCUAGACAAACAAUUUGACAUCAGUGAGCAAAUGCCAUUUCUGAUUGGUUGUUCUACUAGAGAGAGACUUUUUUUUUUCUAAGCUGAUGUUGCAGAAUUUUUAAAAUAGGCAAUUUAGUCGGAGACAACUUUUUAUCUUAAAAAUUGUCUCUUUACAGAGUGAUAGCUAUAUCUAUCUCUCAGAUGAAAUGAUC